rnacentral:rRNA from 1 species
ACGAACGCUGGCGGCGUGCUUAACACAUGCCAGUCGAACGGAAAGGCCCUGCUUUUGUGGGGUGCUCGAGUGGCGAACGGGUGAGUAACACGUGAGUAACCUGCCCUUGACUUUGGGAUAACUUCAGGAAACUGGGGCUAAUACCGGAUAGGAGCUCCUGCUGCAUGGUGGGGGUUGGAAAGUUUCGGCGGUUGGGGAUGGACUCGCGGCUUAUCAGCUUGUUGGGGGGGUAGUGGCUUACCAAGGCUUUGACGGGUAGCCGGCCUGAGAGGGUGACCGGCCACAUUGGGACUGAGAUACGGCCCAGACUCCUACGGGAGGCAGCAGUGGGGAAUAUUGCACAAUGGGCGGAAGCCUGAUGCAGCAACGCCGCGUGCGGGAUGACGGCCUUCGGGUUGUAAACCGCUUUCGCCUGUGACGAAGCGUGAGUGACGGUAAUGGGUAAAGAAGCACCGGCUAACUACGUG